rfam:Salmo salar isolate Sally breed double haploid chromosome ssa18, whole genome shotgun sequence.
UGCACGCAUGACUGUAAUUCGCUUUGGAUAAAAGUGUCUGCUAAAUGGCAUAUA